rnacentral:rRNA from 1 species
UGGGUAUAGUUUAAUGAUACCCACCUGACGGUACCUUUGGAGGGAAGCACUGGCUAACUACGUGCCAGCGGCCGCGGUAAUACGUAGAGUGCAAGCGUUGUCCGGAAUUAUUGGGCGUAAAGGGUACGCAGGCGGAUAAUCAAGUCAAGCGUGAAAGGUGUCGGCUUAACCGACAGACUGCGUUUGAAACUGGUUAUCUUGAGUGUAACAGAGGAGAGUGGAAUUCCUAGUGUAGUGGUGAAAUACGUAGAUAUUAGGAAGAACACCAGUGGCGAAGGCGACUCUCUGGGUUAACACUGACGCUGAGGUACGAAAGCUGGGGGAGCGAACGGGAUUAGAUACCCCGGUAGUCCCAGCCGUAAACGAUGGAUACUAGGUGUUGGAGGUUCGAAUCCUUCAGUGCCGGAGUUAACGCAUUAAGUAUCCCGCCUGGGGAUUACGAUCGCAAGAUUGAAACUCAAAUGAAUUGACGGA